rnacentral:misc_RNA from 1 species
CAGGAUAGCUCGGCGCGUCCCCAUGUGAGGUUACAUAGCAAACCAUGAAGAUGUUCGGAGGCGACAUCGCAGUGUAAUAAGUGGCCAUCAGUUUUAAGUGAUCAAGUCCGCACGCAGCCCUGCUACCCUGUUUCACUGCCAGCAAAGACGGUCUUCGCUGCCAGUCACAAGCGAUGGCAAAUGGCAACUCGAUCGGUCUGUCUUCCGCGUAUAGGAGCGCUCUGUUUUACGGCUGGCAGCGAGAGGGAAAGGUAGAGGAGCGGAGGUCUCGUGGCGAGGCGCUGAAGGAGUGAAGAUGUGAGGUGUGCCAUCUCCACAUCACUAACAUCCCACAAUCUACCUGCACCUGCUGCUGCACUCCUGGCAUCUAGUUAUCAGAUGGUGUGCCACAUCAGGCAUUGCAACCAAGGAGUCAAGUUUCAUCAGGAAAAGAGUACAAGUGUUGCUGCCCUCAAGCCUGAGAAGAGGUAUUAAGUAGCAACAUGAGGAAAGGGAGUGUAGCAGGAAGAGGGCCUGGUAGUACAGUGGUGCCUUGGAAUACAAACUUAAUCCGUUCA